CGCGUAGGUGGUUUGUUAAGUCAGCUGUGAAAGCCCCGGGCUCAACCUGGGAACUGCAGUUGAUACUGGCAGGCUAGAGUACGAGAGAGGGAGGUAGAAUUCCAUGUGUAGCGGUGAAAUGCGUAGAUAUAUGGAGGAAUACCAGUGGCGAAGGCGGCCUCCUGGCUCGAUACUGACACUGAGGUGCGAAAGCGUGGGUAGCAAACAGGAUUAGAUACCCUGGUAGUC
rnacentral:rRNA from 1 species